CACGUGGGGGACGAGCGUUGUCCGGAUUCAUUGGGCGUAAAGCGCGCGUAGGCGGCUCGGAAAGUCGGUCGUGAAAUGCCGGGGCUCAACCCCGGGACUGCGUCCGAUACUUCCGGGCUGGAGGUAGGUAGGGGAGAUCGGAAUUCCUGGUGUAGCGGUGAAAUGCGCAGAUAUCAGGAAGAACACCCGUGGCGAAAGCGGCUCUCUGGAACGGUACUGACGCUGAGACGCGAAAGCGUGGGGAGCGAACAGG
rnacentral:rRNA from 1 species